GGGGGAACUGAAACAUCUAAGUACCCCGAGGAGAAGAAAUCAACCGAGAUUCCGGUAGUAGCGGCGAGCGAACCUGGAUUAGCCCUUAAGCACUCGUUGAAGUAGGUGAACAAGCUGGAAAGCUUGGCGAUACAGGGUGAUAGCCCCGUAACCGACGCUUCAUCGAGCGUGAAAUCGAGUAGGGCGGGACACGUGAUAUCCUGUCUGAAUAUGGGGGGACCAUCCUCCAAGGCUAAAUACUCCUGACUGACCGAUAGUGAACCAGUACCGUGAGGGAAAGGCGAAAAGAACCCCUGUGAGGGGAGUGAAAUAGAACCUGAAACCGUGUACGUACAAGCAGUAGGAGCACCUUCGUGGUGUGACUGCGUACCUUUUGUAUAAUGGGUCAGCGACUUAUAUUCAGUGGCAAGGUUAACCGUAUAGGGGAGCCGUAGCGAAAGCGAGUCUUAACUGGGCGCUCAGUCUCUGGAUAUAGACCCGAAACCGGGUGAUCUAGCCAUGGGCAGGUUGAAGGUUGAGUAACAUCAACUGGAGGACCGAACCGACUAAUGUUGAAAAAUUAGCGGAUGACUUGUGGCUAGGGGUGAAAGGCCAAUCAAACUCGGAGAUAGCUGGUUCUCCCCGAAAGCUAUUUAGGUAGCGCCUCGGACGAAUACUACUGGGGGUAGAGCACUGUUAAGGCUAGGGGGUCAUCCCGACUUACCAACCCUUUGCAAACUCCGAAUACCAGUAAGUACUAUCCGGGAGACACACGGCGGGUGCUAACGUCCGUCGUGGAGAGGGAAACAACCCAGACCGCCAGCUAAGGUCCCAAAGUAUUGCUAAGUGGGAAACGAUGUGGGAAGGCUCAGACAGCUAGGAUGUUGGCUUAGAAGCAGCCAUCAUU
rnacentral:rRNA from 1 species